GCGGCGCGGCGCUGCUCCCGGAGCCCAGCGGGCGGCUGUUGGUGUUUCCUCACCUCAGACUCUGCCCCUGGCCCGCGAGAGGCGCAGCCACAGAAUGCAAUGAAGGGAGAGAGAAAAGGGUUCUGAUUGUCAGGGUCUCCAGAUGGGCAUCUCUUGGGAAGAAAUUCACUUAAAAGCCUGGCUAGGAUCAUGCUCAUGCCUUGAAGUUAACAGGGUGAGAACAAUGGGUUUCCCUUCACUUGGCAGAAGCUAUAAAAGGCCCUGGAAACACCUCCAUUUUGCCUCUUUUCUGCUCAAACCUCUGGACUAUGGAUUUAUACUAAUGGGAGCAUUCUAACCAAGGGACUGCCUUCUUUCCAACUAUUUGAAAGCAACCAGAGACUUAACAAGCCAGCAGUUUAUUCCAUCACUGCUACAAGCCUGAUCCAAGAACUUGGCAAUUGUUGUAUGUAUUUGAUUCCUUUAACCAAUUUUAACUCUCACCUUUCUUUCUUUCUUUUAUAAAUAAACCUUUAGAUUUUAAAGACUAAAGGAUUGGCAAUAGCAUGAUUAUUGGGGAAGAUGUGAGUUAUAUAUUGACCUGGGUAUGUGGCUGGUCCUUUGGGAUCAGAAGAACCCUUUUGUUUGAUGAAAUUAGUUUCAAAUAAACACUCAUCUUUAAAUCUGGUGUCUGGUUGUGGAAUCCAGGACUGGAAUACCUAAGGAGGCUGCACUUGUGACUUCUUGUUAGCCAAUGUAGUGAGACGGAAGUUUAUUUUGUUGCUGGCUUGGUACCUCUCAUGGAAGAGUUGUGGGUGUGUUAGCUCUUUUCCCCAGCAGCUUGCUCUGAAUUUGGUAUUCUCAGUUGUGACCCACGGAGGCACGGUGACAGGCCCUCCCCAGAGCGGCAGCUGUCGCACAGAAAAAGGCGUCUUGGAGUCCAACAGAAGCAGAAACACCUGUCUGGCACUCUGGGAAGCACUUGAAUGUGCCUCACGCACAGGCAGCCUUGUGGCUGAAAUCUCCCUCACUGCUAUCAUUAUUCAGACUCUCCUACAAAAUUGUAUUGCCCUUUAGACCUGUGGGAGAGGCUUUAGGUUCCCCUGCUCCUAUGUAAUUUAAGUCACGUCCACUGAAAUGGCAGG